rnacentral:lncRNA from 1 species
AUGGAAAAUAUGUAUUCAUUUUCCCCUCUUCAUUCAUUUAAUACCAUUCAUUUCUUAAAAGUGAGCUUUCAGAAACAGUUUGCAUGUUGGCUUGCAUAUGUUUAUUUGUCUGUGUCUGUGUUUUCUACUUGUCUGCAUCUUGACAAUUUAAUUUUGCAUACAAAUUUUUCAGUGAAUCUGAAUUUCAUUUGUUUCAUUCCAAUGAUAUUUACAUUGUAUUUUGUUUUUAUUUUACAGAUGUACUUCAGAAAAAAUAUGAUGAUCCUCAAAAGAAACUCAGUAAGUAUCUCUGACGACCUCUUUGUUUCCACAGCCUGUAUUAAACAUUCAGGUUUUUGGUUCUUUCGGCAUCCCCUCUCUUCUUUCCUAUAUGCCAUCUUUUGGCUCACAUGUCAUCUCCAUGUCUUCCCUCUCCUCCCUCAAGGUUUCUGUUUAUGGACGUCUCCCAUCUUAAGUUCUCUUCGUUUCUUUUACCCGAGACCUGAUUCCUUCUCAGUGCUUCCCACUUCAUUUCACAGGGCCCUUCCUGUAAACAUGGUCUUACUCUGGCUUCCAGAGUCUUGGCAGGUUCGUUUUGAUUUUGUGAGAAGAAGGGGAGAGACUGAUGGACAUGUGGCUUCUGUUCCACGUUUAGCUUCUGGAACACUUCCAAUAACGUAGACUCUCUGUCAUACAGCAAAGUUCAAGGGGCCAUUCUCAUGCCAUUGAUGCCUCCCCAAAGCUUAUGAAAUAAAACAAGGCUGCAAAUUUGCUGAGUGAUGUUU